GCAAAGUGCACCUUGCAGAGGGCAGAAGUAUAUUCUGUGCCCACAAAGUGCAAGAAGUAUCUGGACCUUCUGAGAACUGAAAGAUGAGUUUGAUUUUUCUGUGCAUUACAGCUGUGAGCUGUCCCUUGUCUAGCAGCCCUUUAGAAAUAAAAGCUGUAAGGAUCUUCUGGUGGCAGUGGCCUCUCCCACACCCCUUCUGUAAUUGCUGUUAUUACAUAAGCAAUACAUCCACUUGCCAUAGAAAACUUAAAAUACUGCUUGAUCAAAAAGAAUAAAAUUCACCAGAAAAUUCUACAACUGAGAAAUUGCUAUUAUUUUGCAUACAUGUGAUAUAAUUUUGUGUGUGUGUGUGUUUGUGUGUGUGUUUGUGUGUCUGUGUGUGUGUCUGUGUGUGUGUCUGUGUGUGUGUGUGUGUGUAUCUGUACUUCUUCAACAUAAGAAUGGCAUUUGGUAACCAACUUAAAACUCCUGGCAUUUUACAAAGCAUUUGACUUUUUAAAGCUCACAAUCAGGUACACACUCAAAAAUGUAGUUGCAUUCAUAGUUUUAGUUAGUUUCUCUCAUAGGCUGGUUCCUUUCUUUCCUUUUAUUUGAAGGUUGUUGGUUUUUCUGUAGUUUCUAGCAAAAGUUCGUAUUGCUGCAAUUCUUCAAGGGCUGAGAAAGUUGAUUUCUUUAGUGGCAAAAAUAGAACUUUGAUGUUCCGUGUUACUUAGGAGCUCCACCUUGACCCAGCCUCACAACAAAAAGUUUGUGUAUGACCAGGCUUCCUGUAAGUGGAACUCAAACAAUCAAGAAGGUUAGAAACAUGUUCACGUGCUUCUGCUUUUACUCGAUGCGCUGGUACGUUUUCCUCUCCUUGCAGACAGUUAGAAAAUGUCGAGUAGCGCAAAGAAGAAGUAAAUUUACCCAUAAUCCCAGAGUGUGCUCUCCUAGCUGUCCCCUUAGACUUUUAGAAAGACCACACUCUUCACACAUUUUCUGAGUGUGAGCUUAAUUAAAUCUUUAGCAUUAAGAUACUAUUCUACUUUACUGAGUUUAAAACUAUUUUUCUGAAAUCAUUGUAAUGAUAAGGAAAUGUUGCGAUCAAAUAAGAUUUAGACACACUUUUUUUUCCAAUAGGUAAUUUGUGAAAGAAGCAAAAAUAAAUCUGUGGAACUGAAGGAGCGGAUCAGAGAGUAUUUAAAGGGCCACUACUACGUGCCCCUCCUGAGAGCGGAAGAGACUUCUUCUCCAGUCAUCGGGGAGCUGUGGUCCCCAGACCAGACGGCCGAGGCCUCUCACGUCAGCCACUAUGGAGGCAGCCCCAGAGACCCGGUGCUGACCCUGAGAGCCUUCGCAGGGCCCCUGAGUCCAGCCAAGGCAGAAGAUUUUCGCAAGCUCUGGAAAACUCCACCUCGAGAGAAAGCAGGCUUCCUUCACCACGUCAAGAAGUCGGACCCGGAAAGAGGCUUUGAGAGAGUGGGAAGGGAGCUAGCUCAUGAGCUGGGGUAUCCCUGGGUUGAAUACUGGGAAUUUCUGGGCUGUUUUGUUGAUCUGUCUUCCCAGGAAGGCCUGCAAAGACUAGAAGAAUAUCUCACACAGCAGGAAAUAGGCAAAAAGGCUCAACAAGAAACAGGAGAACGGGAAGCCUCCUGCCGAGAUAAAGCCACCACGUCUGUGGAGAUGCGGUUUCACCGUAUUGACCAGGCUGGUCUCGAACUCCUGACCUUGUGAUCCACUUGCCUCGGCCUCCUAGAGUGCUGGGAAGGCAGCAAUUCCAUUUCCGUGAGGGCGUUUCUAGAUGAA
rnacentral:sRNA from 1 species